GCCAUUAAAAAGAAAGUUAAAAAGAGUAAAGGGAGAGUGAGACUUGAGAGAUUCUCGGUUGCCAAACACCCCAAUGUGGUGGGCAAUGUCUCUUCUUCUAAGUUCCUCUCCACUCCACAUUUCAUUCUCAACUCCUCCUCCAACCUCCGUCGGUCACUUCCCUCCUCCACCACGCCCCACUCUCUCAUAACAUUCUUCUUCGGAACGACAACGUUUUAAUCUCCACAGUGAAACCCCUUCAGUCCCUUCCUUGCUCAAAACAUCCCAUUCGCUGUUGCUCUUCCUCCUCCAUGUCCUCCCAGGCAUCCCCUUCAACCUCUCCGGUUCUCCCAUUCUCUUCUCCAUAUUCUGUUCUCAAAAAUUCCAGGACAGCUUCUUGUAUUCAAGAGCGUACUGUGUCAGUGAAUACAUUAUUGCAUGGAAUGUGGAUGUUGGAAAUGAUUGCUGCUGCUUAUUUGCUAGUAAAGCCGCUGCUUUGUCAUUUACUGAUGAUGGUAUUCAAGGCCAGGAUAUGAAAGUUAAGCUUGAAGACCAAAUUUGCAGUGCCAGUGACCACGCUAUGGAGACCAAAUUUCGUGGUGGUUAUCUGACCUUCACUAUGCAGAUAAUAAGACACUAAAAAGUUUCCUCCAGAUUCAGCUCAGCAACAAGAUUUAAUUAUAGCUGUCCAAAAUGAUGAUGGGUACAACUGGGGGUAUAAUCCUGUUCUCUAGGGUGUCCCUAAAGGCAGCUAUGCAAGUAACCCAACUGGUUCCUGCCGUAUAAUUGAGUUUAGAAAGAUGGAUCAGGUUUGAUGUUUUGUCAUUGUUAAGUUAUCAAUUUUCCAAAAUGCUUAAACUAAUUGGAAUUAAAUUUAAGCCGAUUUAUGUGUAUCAAGAUAAUAAUAGUAAUAAUUCACCCAAAAAAACAAAAAAGAAGAAGUUAACAAUAGUAAUAGAAAUUGUAGUAAAUGUGUCAUCGCUUGAUUGAGACAUGUUAACGCUUGAUGUGAGGCCCUGCUGUUACUACUAAAUUACCACUUCUUCCAAAAGCUUAUGCUCUCGGGAAGAGGGUCAUCUAUAUGUUUAUGUUCUGUUAAAACUCCCCUUCAAUUAGCAAGACAAAAAAUGGCUCUUACAUGUACAGAACAAUUAAUCAUUAGAAAUGGGGUUAGUAGGACUGAUCAUAAGACUAGAAAGCAGACUUUUCUUUGGUCAUCAAACAAGAAGAAUAGGUUACGAUUUUGAGUUACUACUAUUUACAAAAGCUUAAUCUAUUAGGAAGUGAAUCGAACUAUGUAUAUCAGGUUAACUUUAGCAGUGUUGACAGUUUAAUAGCCUUUAUUGCUAAGGCAGUGCUAAAGAUCUUGUGUCUAAUCUUACGUUUUUCUCAUUAGUAUGUUUAGCUUAGACUGUUAAAUGUUACUUGUGACAUCUUAACUUUUUCUUUCUCUUACCAAUAGAAAAAUGUACUCUAGAUAUGGAAUAAAGAUAUAUUAGUUCUGGUAAGUUUUCACCUAAAAAAAAUUAGUUCUGGUAUGUCUAUUAAGUGUUGCGUUGGAUUUUUCUUAAAUCGUUGGUAUUCAAUUUAAGUGUUGCUUUCAAUGUUUUACUGUCCUCUUAAGAGAUAAUUUCCCAUUUACCUGUUUCCUGAUUUUAUAUUUACUGUUUUUGGUUGUCUCCUUAUAGUUUUAUUUAAUAUUAAGAAAAUAUAUGUAUUUGGUUCAAGCACUUAAUCAUAUUGGUCUCCACGUUGUCAGAUGUUGUCUACAACCAUUUGCAUGGAAGUGGGCCCUUAGAUGAAAAUUCUGUUCUUGACAAGGUUGUGAUUUGUUUAUUAUUAAUUUUGUCUGUCUACCUUUGCUUAACUCAUAAUUUGUUAUUCCUGCAAAGUUUGCCCACUCCUCUCUUUUCCUUGGCGGAUUGUUCCAGGUUACUAUUUGAGAAGAAACACUGCUAGUUUUAUUGAGAAUAGCACAUGUGUGAAGGGUUUAGCGUUUAAUUAUUGAUGAUCUUUUGCACUGGACGGUUGACCAUAAGGUGAUUGUUUAGGCUGUAAGAUGGUAAAAAACAGCUUCGCAUGCUAGUGCAAAAGAUUUUUUGGUUCCUACUCAAGUUAGGGUUUAUGAUUUUGAUCCAUCAAUAUAGCUAUAAUUCUUGAUUUUACAACAUUUUCAAUCGGUCAUAUGACUUUUUGGUUAGGUUGAUGGGUUCUGUUUUGAUCUUAUGGGUCACAUAAUGAAAAGAACAAUGGUAAGCAAGUCUGACCAAUUUGGCAUGGUGUGAUCAUAAACACAAAUUGGCUAAGUAACUAAUAAUAAUAAUAAUAAUAUGUCUAUAUGAGAGCAAAAAUGUGCUGUGCAGCCUAAAAACAGAGAGGGAUGGAGUUGAUGGUUCAAGUGUCUACAGGUAAGUUGGUGUCAUUGUGUGAUUUUCAGUAUUAUCAAAGUAACAGUUUGGGUCUCCAGUUUUCUUUCUCUGCACGUUAUAUGUUAAUAAUAUUUAUUUACAUAUAAUUUUCUAAAGAUAUGGUGAAGGAUGGGAUUUUGGUGAAGUUGCCAAGAAUGGAUGCGGAGUUAAUGCAUCACAGUUCAAUCUUCCUGAGACUGGAAUUCAGAGUUACUUCAUUAUUUCCAUGAUUGUGCUGGAAAGCAAGUUUAUGCCAAAGAAAUAUAAAUUGCAUAUAUUUUAUCAAGAACAUUAUCAUCAUCUGUUUAGAGUUAGGCAAAGGAAAUGUUAGGCUAUCACACCCUAUAAAAUAAACAGAAAUAAUUACGUACCUUGUAAGUUGUAAAUGGAUACAUUUAUUUGUAUAGCUUUCUUAUGGGAGCUUCUAAACUUUGUUGUUUUAUAAUUUUCAUUAAUAAGAAAGUUCAGUGACUUCCCUCCCUUCCAACCCCGCCCCCCCCCCCCCCCCCCCUCUUUCAAUUGAAUCAACUAAUACAAUUCUUCCAACAGAAUGGUAAAUACUUUAUCUGGAAAAAAUAAAAUAAACAGCCAGUAUAACUUUAGAAAACGCCUUCCUACUGUGACUAACUGAAAAUAAAAGUAAAUCCCUAAACUUUUUUUGAAGUUGAAGCCCAUAAGGUGCCAAGGAGUGGAGAUGAUCCCAAAACAUUCUGCAUCUUGUUAUAAAUGAAUCAUCAGUGCCUACAAUCAUGUUGUGUUGUCUUGAUGUAUAAUUAUCUUGUCAUUUCAGUUGCAGGUGCUUCACUAUCUUCGUGACACAUUUAUUUGCAUAAAUAAUUUGAAAUUUUGAUUCAGUUUCAACGAUCGGAUUCGGGUUGCAAUACUUGGUGGAUCUUCAUUUGGCCAUCCUCUUCAGCAAGGAUUUGCGACUGCUCUAUUUUUGCAGCUUAAUGGUCACAACCAGGACACAGCUGCCAAAAAACUUAUGCUUGCUGUGUCAAAAGAUCACAUCCAGGUUGGGAUGGCUGCAAAUUUGAGGGACUUUGUUCUAACCGAUUAUGAAGGAAGGAGUUAUACAAUAAUACCUGAGAAUAAAGUCGGAUGCAGUUGAUAUUAAAACUGAAAAUAGAUUGCCUUGACAUUUGCAUUAUGAUUUUACUCAGGUAAAAGGGUUGGAAGUAUUAACUCAUGAUGGAGUACCAGUUUCAUAUGCUUCAUGCCCUACUGAAACUCAUCAUCUUUUAUGUUCUGUGGUAAAUCUCUGGAUACCUUGUGUGCAAGCCCAUAAUCUUUAUGAGUUCAGUUAUCUAACAACAACAGUCAAUAUGGAUGAAUGUAAGAGAGAGGGAAUCUCAAUGGCUUUGGGAUCAAGGGUAUUGGUAUUUUUCAAGGCAGUUGGAGGUCUUACCGAAGGUUCAUUACGUUUCUGCUCAUAACAAUGAAACCCUGUUUGAUAUUGUGAGCCUGAAGUACGUGCUUGAGUGCUUGUGCCAUGCAGACACAGAGUCAACCAGUAUCUAAAUAAUUUCUGGCUCCAGGGAAUAUCGUUUUUCCAUUCCGGUUUAUUUUUAA